GGGAACUCCACAGAGAAGAAAAUAGCAACGAGGCAACAGGGCCCCAAAGGUGGAAGUACAGCCUGAGAAACUUCAGCCAGCGCGGGACUGCUCUACCAGCCAGACUUGCUGCUCGCUCUUGCAGGGCAUGGUGUGGUCGUCUGCCUAGGAUGGGAAACUCAAGUCCAGAGACUUAAAUAACUUGCCAAAGAACACACAUCCAGUAAAUGGAGGAGCCAGGAUUCAAACCUCAGUGUGGCCAGCUCUGAAGCCCAGACUGACAGCAGUGACUUGAAUUCUCAAGUGAAAAUCAAGAAAAUGAGAGUGAUCUUUCGAGAAGCAGGAUGGAUUGAAGAAGGGCAAGACAAGAAGACAUCUCACUUAAGGGCCUGGUACACACCUCAGCUGAAAAGCCAAGAUUAUAUUUACAUAGGAUGAAUUCAACCAUG